rnacentral:misc_RNA from 1 species
CCGAGUUUUCUACUCAAAACCCUGCGAACAUACCUCUCUGUGCUUCGGCGGGUCGGCCCCGGGGGGCGCUACAACGGCCGCCGCAAGUAUUUCAAAACCUCUUUUCAGUGUCUUCUGAAUAGCAACAAAAACAAUCA